rnacentral:rRNA from 1 species
AUUGAACGCUGGCGGCAGGCUUAACACAUGCAAGUCGAGCGGAGAUGAGGUGCUUGCACCUUAUCUAGCGGCGGACGGGUGAGUAAUGCUUAGGAAUCUGCCUAUUAGUGGGGGACAACAUUCCGAAAGGAAUGCUAAUACCGCAUACGCCCUACGGGGGAAAGCAGGGGAUCUUCGGACCUUGCGCUAAUAGAUGAGCCUAAGUCGGAUUAGCUAGUUGGUGGGGUAAAGGCCUACCAAGGCGACGAUCUGUAGCGGGUCUGAGAGGAUGAUCCGCCACACUGGGACUGAGACACGGCCCAGACUCCUACGGGAGGCAGCAGUGGGGAAUAUUGGACAAUGGGCGGAAGCCUGAUCCAGCCAUGCCGCGUGUGUGAAGAAGGCCUUUUGGUUGUAAAGCACUUUAAGCGAGGAGGAGGCUACCUGGAUUAAUACUCUAGGAUAGUGGACGUUACUCGCAGAAUAAGCACCGGCUAACUCUGUGCCAGCCGCCGCCGUAAAAC